AAUCUUAGACAAUGGGCGAAAGCCUGAUCUAGCCAUGCCGCGUGAGUGAUGAAGGCCCUAGGGUCGUAAAGCUCUUUCGCCAGGGAUGAUAAUGACAGUACCUGGUAAAGAAACCCCGGCUAACUCCGUGCCAGCAGCCGCGGCAAUACGGAGGGGGUUAGCGUUGUUCGGAAUUACUGGGCGUAAAGCGUACGUAGGCGGAUUAGAAAGUUAGGGGUGAAAUCCCUGGGCUCAACCCUGGAACUGCCUCUAAAACUACUAGUCUAGAGUUCGAGAGAGGUGAGUGGAACUCCGAGUGUAGAGGUGAAAUUCGUAGAUAUUCGGAAGAACACCAGUGGCGAAGGCGGCUCACUGGCUCGAUACUGACGCUGAGGUACGAAAGUGUGGGGAGCAAACAGGAUUAGAUACCCUGGUAGUCCACACCGUA
rnacentral:rRNA from 1 species